rnacentral:rRNA from 1 species
AUUGAACGCUGGCGGCGUGCCUAACACAUGCAAGUCGAGCGGUAACAGGUGUAGCAAUACAUGCUGACGAGCGGCGGACGGGUGAGCAAUAUUUGGGAAUCUGCCUAUUAGUGGGGGACAACCCGGGGAAACUCGGGCUAAUACCGCAUACGCACUAUGGUGGAAAGCCGGGGAUCGUAAGACCUGGCGCUAAUAGAUGAGCCCAAAUCGGAUUAGCUAGUUGGUGAGGUAACGGCUCACCAAGGCUACGAUCCGUAGCUGGUCUGAGAGGACGACCAGCCACACCGGAACUGAGACACGGUCCGGACUCCUACGGGAGGCAGCAGUGGGGAAUAUUGGACAAUGGGCGAAAGCCUGAUCCAGCGACGCCGCGUGGGUGAAGAAGGCCUGCGGGUUGUAAAGCCCUUUCGGUGGGGAAGAAAAGCCUCGAGCUAAUACCUCGGGGUCUUGACGUAACCCAUAGAAGAAGCACCGGCUAACUCUGUGCCAGCAGCCGCGGUAAUACAGAGGGUGCGAGCGUUAAUCGGAAUUACUGGGCGUAAAGCGCGCGUAGGCGGCUUUGCAAGUCGGGUGUGAAAUCCCCAGGCUUAACCUGGGAACUGCAUUCGAGACUGCAUUGCUAGAGUAUGGGAGAGGGAAGU